rnacentral:rRNA from 1 species
UACGGAGGGUGCAAGCGUUGUUCGGAAUCAUUGGGCGUAAAGCGCGUGUAGGCGGCUUGGCAAGUCGGUUGUGAAAGCCCGGGGCCCAACCCCGGAAUUGCAUCCGAAACUGCCUUGCUGGAGUCCCGGAGAGGAAGGCAGAAUUCCCGGUGUAGGGGUGAAAUCCGUAGAUAUCGGGAGGAAUACCAGCGGCGAAGGCGGCCUUCUGGACGGUGACUGACGCUGAGGCGCGAAAGCGUGGGG